GACGAACGCUGGCGGCGUGCUUAACACAUGCAAGUCGAACGGAAAGGCCCUGCUUUUGUGGGGUGCUCGAGUGGCGAACGGGUGAGUAACACGUGAGUAACCUGCCCUUGACUUUGGGAUAACGUCAGGAAACUGGGGCUAAUACCGGAUAGGAGCUCCUGCUGCAUGGUGGGGGUUGGAAAGUUUCGGCGGUUGGGGAUGGACUCGCGGCUUAUCAGCUUGUUGGUGGGGUAGUGGCUUACCAAGGCUUUGACGGGUAGCCGGCCUGAGAGGGUGACCGGCCACAUGGGGACUGAGAUACGGCCCAGACUCCUACGGGAGGCAGCAGUGGGGAAUAUUGCACAAUGGGCGGAAGCCUGAUGCAGCAACGCCGCGUGCGGGAUGACGGCCUUCGGGUUGUAAACCGCUUUCGCCUGUGACGAAGCGUGAGUGACGGUAAUGGGUAAAGAAGCACCGGCUAACUACGUG
rnacentral:rRNA from 1 species